UAUUAAAAAAUAAUUUAUAUUUCACCAAAGAUCCAUCCUGCAGUGUUAUUUUGGAUUGUCAGUAUUGGUUAUGUAUAUGUGUUUAUUUAUAUAUAUGUUUAUUUUCUGUAUUUAUAUUUUGGGAGCGUUUAUUUUGUUUGUGUGACCUUUGACUUCCCACGAAGUCACUUCCUGUAGCUGCGCGCUAUUUUCCUCAGUCGCCUAGAGGCCCUGCUGAGGAGAGGUGAGCGUACGCUAGUGUUCUCAGCAACAGAGCGAAUAAACACAGUUAAAGUAACUAAAAGUAAUUCAAACACUGCUCGUUCCCUUUGUGCAUUUUGUCUCACAGUUCUGUUAGAUGUUUCAGUGUGAAUUAUUGUUUCUCUGUCGAGUACAGCACUUUAUUGUAACAUGCUAGUUAGCCAUUCUCAGAUGAGAGCAUAGGAGCAUGCAGGUGGCUUCUCAUGUGGUUCGCUAUCCUUCUCUCUCCCUUGAAGGUGUUCAUGCAGAAGUCCAGUAAAGUGAAGUUGCUGUACUGUUUUAUUUUUAUUUUAAACAGUUCUCGGAGAAUAAAUCCACCCAGCUGGCAAAGUGAGAGCUGACUCCUCUGGUCAUUCGCACAACACAACGCAGAGAACUAGCGGCACUCAGAGUUUAAGGCCAGACUGGCUACACAUGCACAGAUUCAUUCUCAACUGGACAUAAAUGAUGAUCAAAGGGCUGUUUGAUGACGAUUUGGACUCCUCUGGGAGAUGAGGACACACCCACAUCUGUUCCAUACUGUAGCCAUGAAUAGUGUUACAGCUGUGAGUCAGCUUUGGGCCAUCAGAUGCACACACUGGAAAACCAGCACCUGGACUUCAUGCAGGAGAGACAGCCUAAUCCAGCAACUAAUCCAGAAGUUAAUCCCUGAGCAAACAGGAAAGGGAAAUGGUGUUACGAUGUACAAGGUGGACUCAAGCGCUGGACUCGAGGGAUGAUGCAAGAAAAUUUAUUAAAGAACAAUGUCCAA